CGGCUCCCUGCCAAGCAGAGAGCCUGCUUCCCUUCCUCUCCCUCUGCCUAUUUGUGAUCUCUGUUUGUCAAAUGAAUAAAUAAAAUCUAAAAAAAAAAGAAGAAGAAGAAAGAAAGAAAAAGAAAGGCCUCUAUGUGAAGAAUUAGGAAACCCCAGUUGUUUGUUUGUUUGUUUUUAAAGAUUUUAUUUAUUUGACAGAGAUCAAAAGUAGGCAGAGAGGCAGGCAGGGGGACUGGUAGCAGGCUCCCUGCAGAGCAGAGAGUCCAGUGCAGGACUGGAUCCCAGGACCCUGAGAUCAAGGGCCUGAGCUGAAGGCAGAGGCUUAACCCACUGAGCCACCCAGGCGCCCAGGAAACCCCAGUCUUAACCAAAGGUGUAAUGGUGUGACUGAAAAUGAUGCUGCCUGACUAGGCUCACACAGUCCCUCAACAAUUACACAGGGAAUUCAAACUCCUUAAGGCUGGACUUUUGGCCUGCUGAACUGAUUGCUUUCUUUCAUAGUGUUGUGGCCCGGCACAUAGCAGGUAUUCAGGAACUAUUUGUUUUGGAUCCUCUGGGCUAGGCAGGGAGUGUCUGGCCUUAAGAAGCUCAUAAUCCAGUUGUGACAAAACCCAAAAGCCACAGAAGUUAUUGUAAUAGAUGAAAAUAUUUACCAUAAUUAAGACAGAGGAGCAUGGGGCACCUGGGUGGCUCAGUCAAUAAAGCAUCGGACUCUUCAUUCCAGCUCAGGUUAUGAUCUCAGAGUUUUUUCUACGGGUUUCUCAGCUUUAAAGAUCCUGUCUGGUGAUAAGGAUAUCUUUGUACUUCUUAGGACAGGAAGGAUGCCUUUCAUACGAGAAACCGAUUUCUUGCUGGAGGGGUUUGGAGGUGGUUAUAAGUAUACUUACACCAUGAAGCAGACACAAGCAGAAGGACCCAUCAGUCCUGCAGAUUCCACCUUCUAAAGGAAAUUCAAAAGGACUCUCUGGCUUGUGUGGUGUUGCUUAGCAACCCACCCAAACAAACAUGUUUCCCUCUCAUUUUUUUCCCAGUCCUUAUUUAUUCAAGAACAUUGUAAAAUAA
rnacentral:lncRNA from 1 species